rnacentral:rRNA from 1 species
UACGUAGGGUGCGAGCGUUAAUCGGAAUUACUGGGCGUAAAGCGUGCGCAGGCGGUUCGUUGUGUCGGCGGUGAAAGCCCCGGGCUUAACCUGGGAAUGGCCGUUGAAACUGGCGAACUGGAGUGUGGCAGAGGGGGGUGGAAUUCCGCGUGUAGCAGUGAAAUGCGUAGAGAUGCGGAGGAACACCGAUGGCGAAGGCAGGUCUCUGGGCAUUAACUGACGCUGAGGUAGCGAAAGCAUGGGGAGCGAACAGG